rnacentral:rRNA from 1 species
UACGUAGGGUGCGAGCGUUAAUCGGAAUUACUGGGCGUAAAGCGUGCGCAGGCGGUUUUGUAAGUCAGAUGUGAAAUCCCCGGGCUUAACCUGGGAAUGGCAUUUGGGACUGCAAGGCUUGAGUGCGGCAGAGGAGACUAGAAUUCCUGGUGUAGCAGUGAAAUGCGUAGAUAUCAGGAGGAAUACCGAUGGCGAAGGCAGGUCUCUGGGCUGACACUGACGCUCAUGCACGAAAGCGUGGGGAGCGAACAGG